rnacentral:rRNA from 1 species
AACGUAGGGGACAAGCGUUAUCCGGAUUUACUGGGCGUAAAGCGCCCGUAGGCGGCCUGACAAGUUGGACGUGAAAGCUCCUGGCUUAACUGGGAGAGGCCGUUCAAAACUGUCAAGCUAGAGUCUGGAAGAGGAGAGCGGAAUUCCCGGUGUAGUGGUGGAAUGCGUAGAGAUCGGGAGGAACACCAGUGGCGAAAGCGGCUCUCUGGUCCUAAACUGACGCUGAGGGGCGAAAGCGUGGGGAGCGAACGGG